UGGGGAAUAUUGCACAAUGGGGAAGACCCUGAUGCAGCGACGCCGCGUGAAGGAAGAAGUAUCUCGGUAUGUAAACUUCUAUCAGCAGGGAAGAAAAUGACGGUACCUGACUAAGAAGCCCGCUGAACUAACGUGCCAGCCAGCCGCGGGUAAUACGUAGGUGGCGAGCGUUGUCCGGAAUUACUGGGUGUAAAGGGAGCGUAGGCGGGAGUGCAAGUUGAAUGUGAAAUCUAUCGGCUCAACCGGUAGCUGCGUUCAAAACUGCAUUUCUGGAGUGCCGGAGAGGUAAGCGGAAUUCCUAGUGUAGCGGUGAAAUGCGUAGAUAUUAGGAGGAACACCAGUGGCGAAGGCGGCUUACUGGACGGUAACUGACGUUGAGGCUCGAAAGCGUGGGGAGCAAACAGGAUUAGAUACC
rnacentral:rRNA from 1 species